rnacentral:misc_RNA from 1 species
GUCAUGUCUUAUCUUGUACAAUACAAUAAUUCUUUCAUUUUUUAAAUUUUAUUGGCCGCAAAUAAAGACCAAAAUGAAAAGGAUCCUGUUGCAUCCAUUAUAUAUGGACAGAUUGUUGCUUUGGAUUCUCUAUAUUGAGAGAAACAGAGAUGGAAAGUGAGAAGUCUAUGCCUUUGUUUGAGACAAAGAAAGCCAAGGGAAGGGUCCUGCACAGGCUCUUUGCAGGGACUCUAUUUAUGGGUGUAUGUUUCAUAUGGGCUUAUAGAUUUGGUAACAUACCAAGAGAAGGAGAAGAUGGGAGAUGGGUGUGGAUUGGAUUGCUUGGGGCUGAGUUAUGGUUCGGUCUUUACUGGGUCCUCACUCAAGCUUUAAGGUGGAACCAAGUCUAUAGGUGCACCUUCAAGGACAGGCUCUAUCACAGAUACGCAGAGGAGGACUUGCCUGGGAUUGAUAUAUUUGUUUGCACGGCGGAUUCCACCGUAGAGCCACCAAUAAUGGUGAUCAACACUGUCUUUUCUGUUAUGGCUUAUGAUUAUCCAGCAAAAAAGUUGAGUGUGUAUCUUUCUGAUGACGGUGGAUCAAACCUUACGUUUUAUGCUCUGCUGGAGGCAUCUAAUUUUGCAAGAUAUUGGAUACCAUAUUGCAAAAAAUUCAAAGUGGAACCGAGGUCACCUGCAGCUUAUUUUGCUUCAGGAUCUAAUCCAAAUCAGUAUGGUGAGACUACAGUUAUUAAGAAAUUAUACAAAGAAAUGGAAGACCGAAUUGUAACUGCAACCAAAUUAGGUCGAAUCCUUGAAGAAGCACGCUUGAAACAUAGAGGAUUUUCACAGUGGGAUUCAUACUCUUCACGGCAUGAUCAUGACACCAUCCUUCAAAUUUUAAUAGACGGAAAGGAUCCAAAUGCCACAGACAUUGAUGGGGGUGCAUUGCCUACUUUAGUAUACCUCGCUAGAGAGAAGAGACCUCAACAUCCCCACAAUUUCAAAGCUGGUGCCAUGAAUGCAUUGAUCAGAGUGUCAUCAAACAUCAGCAAUGGACAGAUUAUUCUGAAUCUAGACUGUGAUAUGUACUCAAACAACUCACUUUGCAUAUGGGAUGCACUUUGUUUCUUCAUGGACAAAGAGAAUGGCCAUGACAUUGCUUUUGUACAAUUCCCACAAGGAUUUGAAAAUAUGACCAAAAAUGAUAUCUACGGUAGUUCAUUUAUAGUGAUUUCCAAUGUAAGUGUGUUUGGCUCUUUUAUCUCAAUAUUCUUACCGAGUUAUCAUGUUUGUUUGGUAAUGCAUUUUAUAAAUGAUGUCAAUGAAGGUGGAAUUUCAUGGUGUUGAUGGUUUCGGAGGUCCUUUAUACAUUGGAAGUGGCUGCUUUCACAGGAGAGAUGUUCUUUGUGGAAGGAAAUUCACUAAAGAU